AGGGGCUGGGGGGAGGGACUGGCCAGCAACCUAGCUUAAAGGAUCCUCAUAGACUGCAGCGACGAUUCUGUGCACAGACUAAGGAAGGAGAAGCUGCAGGAACCGGAAAACAAGCUUAUGUUACUAUAGAAGAAUGAGAGAUCACCUGGGCAAAUAUAAGACAUUUUAGAUGAUCCAUAAUAGAAUUACUAACCUCCAGUCUGUCUGCCAGCUCCACAAAGACACAAGAGCAAACCCAGAAAUUCUGAGAACCUUCCUUGAAAUCAUUGAACAGCAAAUGAACAAGCUGUUGCCAACCUGGGGUAGAAGACAGCAGAUGGCUUUGUCAAACUUGUAUUUGUCCCUGGGGUAAAGGGCUUCAAUGCUGAGCAUCGAGCAUAAGGAGUUGGAGAAAGAGAUGUGGGUGAUUUACCUCUGCCAUAGAUAUCGGAUUGGCAAAAAUAAAUGAAUUUCAUCUGAAGAGAAUUAACACAAGCAUACACAUAUACACAGGAGUGCACAUAAAAAUUAAUCUUCAAGAGGAUAGAAACAGGGGAUGGUGUAGUUCCUGCCAUGAAGUACAGAUCAACUGGUACCAGAGAUUCAAAAUUGUGGAAUGGAUCAUGGGGAUUUCUCUCUUCCCUGUCAUAAAGAGUAAUUCAAUCAGGAAAACUGACAUGCAUUGUUGUAUUGUGGGUGCAACAGCUGAGAAGAUGAAAAAGACAUAGAGAAAGGGGAUAUUGGAAAUAAAAGGAUGUUAAAAUGAUAUAAUUUUUAAGAAGGUUGAGAAGGAAUAUGGGAUAUUUAUAUUCCUCUAAAUUUGAUAGAUAAUGAUGUCCACAAAGAAGAGUUUGCUGAAAUAAUUUUAAAUUUUGGUGAGCACAGACUAUCAAUGCCAAACGCAAUGGGUAAUUUUCUGUGUCAGCUUGGCUAGGCUGUGAUCUCCAAGUGUUUGUUCAAACAGCAAUCGUAGAUGUCCUUGUGAAGGUAUUUUUAGGUAAGAUUAACAUUUAAAUCAGUAGUCUUUGAGUAAAGCAGAUGACCUGCAAUAAUGUGAGUGGGUCUCAAAUUUGUUUUAAGUUGAAGGCCUUAAGAGAGAAAGAUUAAGGUCAUCCAUGAAAGAGGGAAUUCUGCUACCAGAUUGCAUUUGGACUCAAGCUGCAAUAUCAGCUCUUCCCUGGGUCUCCAACCUGACAGCCUGUCCUAUAGAUAAGAGCUUGCCAGUCCCCACAAUCACAUGACACAUGAGCCAGUCCUUUUUUUUUUAGCCAAUUCUUUAAAAUUCUUCUCCUCUCUCUCUCUCUCUCUCCCCCGCCUCUCCCUCUCUCUCUCCCUUCUUUCUCUGUGUAUACACAUGCACGCGUGCACGCGCGCACACACACACACACACACACACACUCAUCCUAUUAGUUCCGUUUCUCUGGAGAACCCAGACUAAUGUACUUCCUCAGUAAUUGUUUUAGCAUUCUGGAUUCUGUUACUUUACUAUCAGCCUUAAAAUUGCAAAAAGAAGAAGGAAAGUUUUAUCAACCAUUUCAGACACUAAGUUUUCAGCCUUUUGGGAUCAAGGAAAAUACAAUCCAUAUGUUUUGGACUCACUUGCUAUUAUCCAGAACAUUAUAUCGGAGAUGGUUUAAAAUUUCUGGCUGGUUCAAUAUACGCAAAUCAAUAAAUGUAAUCCAGCAUAUAAACAGAACCAAAGACAAAAACCACAUGAUUAUCUCAAUAGAUGCAGAAAAAGC
rnacentral:lncRNA from 1 species